GAAGAGGACGCACAAUUUAGAUGACGUGCAUGCAACACAUCAUCGAGUGUUCUUCAUCAACAACAUCCAUCGGGUCUUGGAUCUACAAAUUAAACGGUUGCUGCCACUGCAGCUGAUGUUGAGACAACUCUCAGUCUUCCUGCAAGUCCUCGCCUGAUACUGCCUGUUUCAGGUGCAACAGGGCAAGUCACAAUUAAAGGUUGGAUGAUCACCUUAGAGGGCCGUGUAAUCUCUGAGGGCAUCACACCAACAUUUGCAACAGGACUUGCUGCUGUGUUUGCAAUCUACUACAUAUUCAACCUUCAAUAUCAAGAUGAGGCAGCCUGCACUCUGGAAUUCAUUCAGAGGCGCUUCAUUGGUAUAAAUCCAGAGAGAGGGACCAAGGUCAAAAGGGGCAAGGUUGUCUCCAAGAAGAAAGGUGUGAUCGUCCAGAAGAAGUCUUCUGCAGUCAAUACACACGUCGCCAUGCUACUGAAGAAUCUCCUUGACUUUGAAUGGAACUUCAUAUAGAUCGUGGCAACACUGGAAUAAUGCUGCAGAGAGGAGUAGCAGCUACCAAAGUGAUGGUCAUCUCUCCUGGAUCCACAAGUACUAAGACGUAUAAACACACGCCUACCUCACAGGACUAUUUUAAG